rnacentral:rRNA from 1 species
GACGAACGCUGGCGGCGUGCCUAAUACAUGCAAGUAGAACGCACAGUUUAUACCGUAGCUUGCUACACCAUAAACUGUGAGUUGCGAACGGGUGAGUAACGCGUAGGUAACCUGCCUGGUAGCGGGGGAUAACUAUUGGAAACGAUAGCUAAUACCGCAUAAUAUUGAUUAUUGCAUGAUAAUUGAUUGAAAGAUGCUAUUGCAUCACUACCAGAUGGACCUGCGUUGUAUUAGCUAGUAGGUGAGGUAACGGCUCACCUAGGCGACGAUACAUAGCCGACCUGAGAGGGUGAUCGGCCACACUGGGACUGAGACACGGCCCAGACUCCUACGGGAGGCAGCAGUAGGGAAUCUGCGGCAAUGGACGAAAGUCUGACCGAGCAACGCCGCGUGAGUGAAGAAGGUUUUCGGAUCGUAAAGCUCUGUUGUAAGAGAAGAACGGGUGUGAGAGUGGAAAGUUCACACUGUGACGGUAUCUUACCAGAAAGGGACGGCUAACUACGUG